rnacentral:rRNA from 1 species
AACAGGAUUAGAUACCCUGGUAGUCCACGCCGUAAACGAUGAGUGCUAAGUGUUAGAGGGUUUCCGCCCUUUAGUGCUGCAGUAAACGCAUUAAGCACUCCGCCUGGGGAGUACGGCCGCAAGGCUGAAACUCAAAGGAAUUGACGGGGGCCCGCACAAGCGGUGGGGCAUGUGGUUUAAUUCGAAGCAACGCGAAGAACCUUACCAGGUCUUGACAUCCUCUGCCAACCCUAGAGAUAGGGCGUUCCCCUUCGGGGGACAGAGUGACAGGUGGUGCAUGGUUGUCGUCAGCUCGUGUCGUGAGAUGUUGGGUUAAGUCCCGCAACGAGCGCAACCCUUAAUCUUAGUUGCCAGCAUUUAGUUGGGCACUCUAAGGUGACUGCCGGUGACAAACCGGAGGAAGGUGGGGAUGACGUCAAAUCAUCAUGCCCCUUAUGACCUGGGCUACACACGUGCUACAAUGGAUGGUACAAAGGGCUGCAAAACCGCGAGGUUAAGCGAAUCCCAUAAAACCAUUCUCAGUUCGGAUUGCAGGCUGCAACUCGCCUGCAUGAAGUCGGAAUCGCUAGUAAUCGCAGAUCAGCAUGCUGCGGUGAAUACGUUCCCGGGCCUUGUACACACCGCCCGUCACACCACGAGAGUUUGUAACACCCGAAGUCGGUGGGGUAACUGGUUUUCCAGAACUAGCCGCCUAAGGUGGGACAAAUGAUUGGGGUGAAGUCGUAACAAGGUAGCCGUAUCGGAAGGUGCGGCUGGAUCACCUCCUU